rnacentral:rRNA from 1 species
CAGCCGCCGCGGUAAUACGGAGGGUGCAAGCGUUAAUCGGAAUUACUGGGCGUAAAGCGCACGCAGGCGGUUUGUUAAGUCAGAUGUGAAAUCCCCGAGCUUAACUUGGGAACUGCAUUUGAAACUGGCAAGCUAGAGUCUUGUAGAGGGGGGUAGAAUUCCAGGUGUAGCGGUGAAAUGCGUAGAGACCUGGAGGAAUACCGGUGGCGAAGGCGGCCCCCUGGACAAAGACUGACGCUCAGGUGCGAAAGCGUGGGGAGCAAACAGGAUUAGAUACCCCGGUAGUCCCUGUCUCUUAUAC